rnacentral:tRNA from 1 species
AGCUCCAAUGGUAGAGCAACUGACUUGUAAUCAUCAGGUCGCCAGUUCGAUUCCGGUA